rnacentral:rRNA from 1 species
CGGAACGUACCAUUCAGUGGGGGAUAACGUAGCGAAAGUUACGCUAAUACCGCAUAUUCUGUGAGCAGGAAAGCAGGGGAUCGCAAGACCUUGCGCUGAUUGAGCGGCCGAUAUCAGAGUAGCUUGUUGGUGAGGUAAAAGCUCACCAAGGCGACGAUCUGUAGCGGGUCUGAGAGGAUGAUCCGCCCACUGGAACUGAGAUACGGUCCAGACUCCUACGGGAGGCAGCAGUGGGGAAUUUUGGACAAUGGGGGCAACCCUGAUCCAGCCAUGCCGCGUGAGUGAAGAAGGCCUUCGGGUUGUAAAGCUCUUUCAGCCGGGAAGAAAACGCAUGGGUUAAUACCCUGUGUGGAUGACGGUACCGGAAUAAGAAGCACCGGCUAACUACGUGCCAGCAGCCGCGGUAAUACGUAGGGUGCGAGCGUUAAUCGGAAUUACUGGGCGUAAAGCGUGCGCAGGCGGUUUUGUAAGACAGGCGUGAAAUCCCCGGGCUUAACCUGGGAACUGCGUUUGUGACUGCAAGGCUAGAGUACGGCAGAGGGGGGUGGAAUUCCACGUGUAGCAGUGAAAUGCGUAGAGAUGUGGAGGAACACCAAUGGCGAAGGCAGCCCCCUGGGUCGAUACUGACGCUCAUGCACGAAAGCGUGGGUAGCAAACAGGAUUAGAUACCCUGGUAGUCCACGCCCUAAACGAUGUCAACUAGGUGUUGGGAGGGUAAAACCUUUUAGUACCGGAGCUAACGCGUGAAGUUGACCGCCUGGGGAGUACGGCCGCAAGGUUAAAACUCAAAGGAAUUGACGGGGACCCGCACAAGCGGUGGAUGAUGUGGAUUAAUUCGAUGCAACGCGAAAAACCUUACCUACCCUUGACAUGCCAAGAACUUUCCAGAGAUGGAUUGGUGCCCGAAAGGGAACUUGGACACAGGUGCUGCAUGGCUGUCGUCAGCUCGUGUCGUGAGAUGUUGGGUUAAGUCCCGCAACGAGCGCAACCCUUGUCGUUAAUUGCCAUCAUUUAGUUGGGCACUUUAACGAGACUGCCGGUGACAAACCGGAGGAAGGUGGGGAUGACGUCAAGUCCUCAUGGCCCUUAUGGGUAGGGCUUCACACGUCAUACAAUGGUCGGUACAAAGGGUCGCCAAGCCGCGAGGUGGAGCCAAUCCCAGAAAGCCGAUCGUAGUCCGGAUCGCAGUCUGCAACUCGACUGCGUGAGGUCGGAAUCGCUAGUAAUCGUGGAUCAGAAUGUCACGGUGAAUACGUUCCCGGGUCUUGUACACACCGCCCGUCACACCAUGGGAGCGGGUUCCGCCAGAAGUAGGUAGCCUAACCGCAAGGAGGGCGCUUACCA